UGAAAAACAAACUUUACUACCUCUGAUCUAAAGAAACAUCUGUUCUGUACGACUCUUGUACAGUCCAUUCUCUAAUAAAUGAAAGGCAAACUUAGUUCUUUCGUUUUUCGCAAAUGGACUAGAGUAAAAGACAUUAUUCUAUCCUAAUUUAGAGGUUUCUUGUUUCAUACCUUUUAAAUUGUGGAAAAUAAUGUGACAUUUCCUCUGCAUUGAUUAAUAGCACUGAGUUACUAUGUAUUUGUUUCAUAAAUGUUCUAAUAGUUCUCUUCCGCGUUAUUUUUUAUCUAUGUUUCAGAUUGGUUUAAAUAAAUCACUGCAUUCAGAUUCGCUGUAUUCAGAUAUUGUACAAAUGAAAUGUCAAAUGCUGGGAUGAAGGUACCAUAACUGCAACGGAAGUUGCGAUCGUGAUUGAUCGUGUAUCGGUUAUUGGAAAUCAUCUGCUUCAUUUUUAAAGGGUCAAACGCGCAGGGUUCCGAAAGGCAAAAGGGGAGCAUCUAACAACAAGUGUUUGUGAAAGAUAUGAAUGUGUCGUGAUGGUGUGGUAAUAGUGACAGUUCGAAGAACAGUUUCUAAAUGUGAAGGUACUAUCAGGUAAGUAAUGUGUUGUAAUUUGUUCUCUUUGCUCAACUCAUCUGAUUCAGUUAUCGCACAUGCUGCUGAACUCUCUGUGACGUGUGAAGUGAGAAUGUUUCACCGGCAUUAGGUUACAGGGAGUUUCGCAAGCAUGCACACAGUAUCAGAUCUGUUGACCAACACGGUCUUAAAUAUGUAUGAUGAAAAAAGUCAAUAAAAUAUUUUACCUCAAAGAAAUCAUUAAAUUAUGGUUGUGUGAAUCGACUAAGUCGUCCGAAAUGUAUAUUUUUUCUUCAUUCGUUUCUUCUCCUUGAUUUAACCAAUUUCGAAACUCUUGUAACUACAAACUCUACUACACUAUAUUAAUCUACUAUAAAACACAGAACGAUGAUCAUGCAUUUGUCAUCAUUUUUAAGUAGAACACACGAUCCGCCCUUCACCGUUCGUUUAGAUGCGCCCAAGAGCGAGACUUCCUUUCGAUUCGAUUUAUUUUUGUACUAUGAAGUAGGUAUAAAAGACAAUAGAAAAAGAGCUGUAUGUGUUGUUGACGUUGUUGUGUUGUAGCUAUUUUGCUAGGGCUUGCUUUUUUAAAUGUAGGCGAACACUAGCUGAAGAAUGGUCCGGGUCACGGGGGGGGGGGG